UGAGCUCGAUGAGUAGGGCGGGACACGUGGUAUCCUGUCUGAAUAUGGGGGGACCAUCCUCCAAGGCUAAAUACUCCUGACUGACCGAUAGUGAACCAGUACCGUGAGGGAAAGGCGAAAAGAACCCCGGCGAGGGGAGUGAAAAAGAACCUGAAACCGUGUACGUACAAGCAGUGGGAGCACGCUUAGGCGUGUGACUGCGUACCUUUUGUAUAAUGGGUCAGCGACUUAUAUUCUGUAGCAAGGUUAACCGAAUAGGGGAGCCGAAGGGAAACCGAGUCUUAACUGGGCGUUAAGUUGCAGGGUAUAGACCCGAAACCCGGUGAUCUAGCCAUGGGCAGGUUGAAGGUUGGGUAACACUAACUGGAGGACCGAACCGACUAAUGUUGAAAAAUUAGCGGAUGACUUGUGGCUGGGGGUGAAAGGCCAAUCAAACCGGGAGAUAGCUGGUUCUCCCCGAAAGCUAUUUAGGUAGCGCCUCGUGAAUUCAUCUCCGGGGGUAGAGCACUGUUUCGGCAAGGGGGUCAUCCCGACUUACCAACCCGAUGCAAACUGCGAAUACCGGAGAAUGUUAUCACGGGAGACACACGGCGGGUGCUAACGUCCGUCGUGAAGAGGGAAACAACCCAGACCGCCAGCUAAGGUCCCAAAGUCAUGGUUAAGUGGGAAACGAUGUGGGAAGGCCCAGACAGCCAGGAUGUUGGCUUAGAAGCAGCCAUCAUUUAAAGAAAGCGUAAUAGCUCACUGGUCGAGUCGGCCUGCGCGGAAGAUGUAACGGGGCUAAACCAUGCACCGAAGCUGCGGCAGCGACGCUGAUGCGUUGUUGGGUAGGGGAGCGUUCUGUAAGCCUGUGAAGGUGUGCUGUGAGGCAUGCUGGAGGUAUCAGAAGUGCGAAUGCUGACAUAAGUAACGAUAAAGCGGGUGAAAAGCCCGCUCGCCGGAAGACCAAG
rnacentral:rRNA from 1 species